GUGUGAUGGAUGUCGGCAUUGCUGACUGCCUUCCCGCUGUUGCCACCCAAACUUUUCGACAACAGUUCUCUACGACUGAGGCUACUAGGCCGGGGAGCAGGGGCCGACGUGUCUUAGCGGACUAGUUCCUC
rnacentral:sRNA from 1 species